rnacentral:rRNA from 1 species
GUCUAUGGCUAUACCACCCUGAACGUGCCCGAUCUCAUCUGAUCUCGGAAGCUAAGCAGGGUCGGGCCUGGUUAAUACUUGGAUGGGAGACCUUCUGGGAAUAACGGGUGCCAUACGCU